GUGCCAGCCGCCGCGGUAAUACCGGCAGCCCGAGUGAUGGCCGAUCUUAUUGGGCCUAAAGCGUCCGUAGCUGGCUGCGCAAGUCCGUCGGGAAAUCCACUCGCUUAACGAGUGGGCGUCCGGCGAAAACUGUGCGGCUUGGGACCGGAAGAUCCAAGGGGUACGUCCGGGGUAGGAGUGAAAUCCCGUAAUCCCGGACGGACCACCGAUGGCGAAAGCACCUUGGAAGGACGGAUCCGACAGUGAGGGACGAAAGCUAGGGUCUCGAACCGGAUUAGAUACCCUUGUAGUCC
rnacentral:rRNA from 1 species